GGCGAACGCUGGCGGCGUGCCUAAUACAUGCAAGUAGAACGCUGAAGGAGGAGCUUGCUUCUCUGGAUGAGUUGCGAACGGGUGAGUAACGCGUAGGUAACCUGCCUGGUAGCGGGGGAUAACUAUUGGAAACGAUAGCUAAUACCGCAUAAUAGUAGAUGUCGCAUGACAUUUGCUUAAAAGGUGCAAUUGCAUCACUACCAGAUGGACCUGCGUUGUAUUAGCUAGUUGGUGAGGUAACGGCUCACCAAGGCAACGAUACAUAGCCGACCUGAGAGGGUGAUCGGCCACACUGGGACUGAGACACGGCCCAGACUCCUACGGGAGGCAGCAGUAGGGAAUCUUCGGCAAUGGACGGAAGUCUGACCGAGCAACGCCGCGGGAGUGAAGAAGGUUGUCGGAUCGUAAAGCUCUGUUGUAAGAGAAGAACGAGUGUGAGAGUGGAAAGUUCACACUGUGACGGUAUCUUACCAGAAAGGGACGGCUAACUACGUG
rnacentral:rRNA from 1 species